rnacentral:rRNA from 1 species
AUUGAACGCUGGCGGCGUGCUUAACACAUGCAAGUCGGUCGGUAACAGGUGUAGCAAUACAUGCUGACGAGAGGCUGACGGGUGAGGAGUAUUUGGGAAUCUGCCCAUCAGCGGGGGACAAUCCGGGGAAACCCGGGCUAAUACAGCAUACGCUCUACGGAGGAAAGCCGGGGACCGCAAGGCCUGGCACUGAUGGAUGAGCGCAAAUCGGAUUAGCUAGUUGGCGGGGGAACGGCCAACCAAGGCGACGAUCCGUAGCUGGUCUGAGAGGACAAUCAGCCACACCGGAACAGAGACACGGGCCAGACUCCUACGGGAGGGAGCAGUGGGGAGUAUUGGACAAUGGGGGAAAGCCUGAUCCAGCGACGCCGCGUGGGUGAAGAAGGCCUGCGGGUUGUAAAGCCCUUUCGGUAGGGACGAAAGCUCCUGCUCUAAUGAUGCAGGAGGUUGACUUAACCUACAUAAGAAGCACCGGCUAACUCUGUGCCAGCAGCCGCGGUAAGAC